UGGGGAAUAUUGCGCAAUGGGCGAAAGCCUGACGCAGCAACGCCGCGUGAGUGAUGAAGGCCUUCGGGUCGUAAAGCUCUGUCGGAGGGAACGAAUGCUCUUGAGGUUAAUAGCCUCGGGAGGUGACGGUACCCUCAAAGGAAGCACCGGCUAACUCUGUGCCAGCAGCCGCGGUAAUACAGAGGGUGCAAGCGUUGUUCGGAAUUACUGGGCGUAAAGGGCGCGUAGGCGGCCCUCUAAGUCAGACGUGAAAUCCCCCGGCUUAACCUGGGAACUGCGUCUGAUACUGGAGGGCUUGAGUAUGGGAGAGGGAUGUAGAAUUCCAGGUGUAGCGGUGAAAUGCGUAGAUAUCUGGAGGAAUACCGGUGGCGAAGGCGGCAUCCUGGACCAUUACUGACGCUGAGGCGCGAAAGCUAGGGGAGCAAACGGGAUUAGAUACCCCAGUAGUCCCUGAGCGGGCUGGCAAGGCGCAU
rnacentral:rRNA from 1 species